rnacentral:lncRNA from 1 species
AUGACCUUUUUGACUUGUGUGGGUCUGAUCCCUCUCCAUAGAAUGUCAAUGCCAUUCCCGUCCCUGCCUCCCUGGAGCCUGGCAUGGGAGCCGUGGGUGUUUACCAAGUGGAUGGAUACAGUACCUGCCGUGUUGGAUACAGUACCUGCCGUGAUGUCGCAGGUACUCAAUGUUGGUGGAAUCUCUGCUGCUUACUUGCUGUGUGGCCUCAAGAAAUAUCACAACUUCUGCAGCUAUGAAGUGGGACAGGCCAGGAGAACCCUGGGCAAAACAGGGAUUUGGAGGCCUUUGGGACAGAGUGAAGACUUUGGACGCCCACUCAGGAUAAAGCCACCACACCAGGACGCCGUUGAGAGGAGACUCAGAGCCUGAGUUCACCAAGGACAAACCCUGAGCAGAUAACAGUGGCAUCUUCUGGGGAGGGCUGUAGCACUGGGGGCCUCAGGGGAGGAUUUUCCUUGUUGCUCCCUGUAUUUUGGUAUGAUGUGACCUUUUCUGGUGAGAAUGUAUCUAAAUAUUAAUUUUGUAUGAAAUAAAAGUUUUUCAAAGAAAGGCUCUGGUAUUCUGGGGUUUCAGAUCCCUUUGAACAGCUUAUGAAAACUAUGGGCUG